UCGAGAAUAUUCGACAAUGGGCGAAAGCCUGAUCGAGCGACGCCGCGUGGAGGAAGAAGCCCUUCGGGGUGUAAACUCCUUUUCUCCGGGAAGAACUACGGUGACUGUACCGGAGGAAGAAGAGGUUGCUAACUCUGUGCCAGCAGCAGCGGUAAUACAGAGACCUCGAGUGUUAUCCGGAUUUAUUGGGCGUAAAGGGUCCGUAGGCGGUAUGGCGCGUCCGUGGUGAAAGCCCUCGGCUCAACCGAGGAAGUGCUGCGGAUACGGCCAAACUAGAGAGUAUGAGGGGCUGAUGGAACUCAUGGUGGAGGGGUGAAAUCCGUUGAUAUCAUGGGGAACACCAAAGGCGAAGGCAUUCAGCUGGCGUAACUCUGACGCUGAGGGACGAAAGCGUGGGGCGCGAAUGGG
rnacentral:rRNA from 1 species